UGAGUUUUGAAGAGAAAAGACCAAGGAGGCAGAAUGCAGGUUUGGCCGCCGAAGGUAAUGUUCGGCCGCCGAAAGUGCUAUAGGUUCGGCUUCCUAAACUUCACGUUAGGCCGCCGAAUGUUGCAUGGUUUUGCAUGCAGUUUCGGCAGCCGAAGGAAAGGCGGUUGGCCACCUAUUUAAGCCCCUUUGACCGGCCAUGGAGGGUGUUGGAAGCUCUCUUGGUAGUCAAAGGUGAGGUUAUGCUCUUCUUGGGAGGUUUUCAUGGUGUUUUCCUCAAAUCUUGUAAGGUUUUCAUGAGUUUUUACUUGGGUUUGAAGGUUUUGAGUAACAAGAGGAAGUUGUGGAGCUUGAAGCUUGAGGAG
rnacentral:lncRNA from 1 species